rnacentral:lncRNA from 1 species
GAGUGAUUUGAGUUGAGGAGAGAAGUUCGGUAUAGUGUACUAUUUUAAAUUUAACCAGUGUGCCAAUUUACUUCAUGGAGGUGAUUUGAGUUUCGUGAGGGGUGAACAAGUUUUUAUGAUAGAAACGGUGUGAACAUGUAACAACAUGUAGCCUAUAUUGUAAAAUAUUUACCGUGGUACUGUACAACAGUCACCUCUCUCAAUUCAGUGCAUUACAGAAGCGCUCAAGACUCAUCAUCACUGGAGAAUGAAUAACAACAUUAACAAUGUCAUGUUUAUGAUUCGAGAUGAGCAAACAUUCAACUUACAGCGUGUUUCGUAGAAGCUUCAACAUAUGGCAGACAUCAAAUAUCACAUGAACAUCAUAGCUGCAAGUUGGGUGAGGGAAUGUUGUUAUAAUCGAUUCAUAUGUUUGACCAAAGUUACAACCAAGAAACUUAGCUGCUUCCUGAUUAACAUAUGUUCCAUCCCAAACUACGCUCCAUGUUGUUAGACCAGCAUCGGCAAGUAGACUUAAAGCAGUUUUGACGAGUUGGGAGAGAACACAGCCAGAAAUCUUGUUGCAUAAAAAAUAUCCUAUGACUGAUUUCCAUGAACGUCAUGUUAAACCCACAACCAUGAAUACUAGUGACUCGGUAGCUAAUUCUUCAGAGGAUUCUACGUUGGAAUUUCCGUAAUUUACAAAUCCACUAUAUUGUUGAUUUUUUGCAUCCCAUAAUGACUGUUUCCUAAUGUGUAUACCAUCAAUAAUGAGUGUUACAUCGUUGCAGAUUUCCCUAUUUGUCACUUUCAUUUUAAGUUGCUCAAUUACUUCGGAAAGAAAACCAGGCUGACAGUCAACUGAGCAGCACCAGUUUCUGAUAGAUGAUGAGUGAGGAAGGUGCAGGAUCUUGCGUACAUAAUCAUAAGCUUUUGGGGAGUGAUAAUGUAAUGUUACGGCAAACUGUUUUGCAGUGUCAGAAUAGCGUUUUCCUUUGGGAUUGAGUUUGUGAUUUCUUGACAUGUUUUUUAUCAGCUCCAGUGUAAGUCCUGUGAACUCUUGCUCAAUUAUAUUGCUUACAUCUUCAUUAAUUUUGUUUUUUUUCCUUAAUUGCUGAAGAAGAGCUGAUAUUGAUUUGAUUUUUUUAUUUUUUCUCCACACCUUGUUUUUUAUUGUUUUGACUUCUAACUUUAAGGCGUUUAUUCUUUCUUCUUUUGAAACUUUUAAGUAAUAUGGGUGAUCGAAUUUUGCUAUCCUAGCAAUUUUACUGGGACUGUCUAUAGUAUCUGAAUUAAAUUUUCGUUUUCUUGUUAAUGCAGUUUGUUCAAAAAAUGUUAGAUUAUUAUUUUUACCAUAGUUUUCGAACACAGUGGGAAUAACACUUGCUUUAAGUCGUCUUUUUUGGUCUGGUGACUGUUGAGUAAAGUCAUUAUCAUUAAAAUGCAGAGAGCAAACAAACUGGUGUUUAGUCGGGUCUGAAUUUUCGUCGCUUUGAAAAAUAUUUUUAUCAAUAUUUUCCUGUGUCAAUAGAAAUCUGUUGAAAAAUAAAUAAAGUUAUUUGCACUGUUAUAAAUGAAUAAUAAAAAUAAAUCAGUGGGAAAUCUACCAAUAGGUAAAUAAAAAUUAUAUAUAGCCCUAAAUGGAUAAAUUAUUCAUAUUUAAAAUAAUUUCAUAAAAUAAAUUUUGAAAAAUGUAAUUCCUCAUGUUUUUUUUUGUUUUUGUUUAAUGUUCUAUGCAAGUAAAAGGAGCAAUGCAAAAAUGCAUAAAUUAAUACUAUUAUGAAACUCCCCAUAUUAUAGAAAUAUAGCCUAUCUUUUAACUACUCUACGGUAUAAUAAAAAUAAAAUAAAGUGCCUUUUAUUUUUGUAUAGGCUACUAGACAUUGUCAUAAACCUUGCUAGUUGAUAACACUAUAAUUAAUAUUAAAAUACCAACUAACAUUAGGCAUAACACCAUACAAUUGAAAAAUAAUAUUGUAAUAAUUAUUUUUAACCUACAAUUUUAAACUGAUUUUUAACUGAGGAAUUACUGUAUUUAUAUUUGUAUAUUUUUGUUGUUUGUAUGUUUAACUGUCAAGGCUAAAUGAGUUUUCCCAUUGUGGGAUAAUAAAGUUUUAUUGAAUUGUUG